rnacentral:lncRNA from 1 species
AACCUGUAAAUAUAUCGCUUACGAUUUCACCUUGAAUCUAAAUUCCUUUCUACUUGACAUGCUCUUCCCAUUUGGUAUGGAUUUGUCAUGACUGGGUAUAACCCCUUCAAACGCCUGAAACAAAGUUAUGCUAGGAACGGGGGGAGAACCUCAUCCUAACAUACCUAAAAUGAAAGUCCGAUUAUCUCGAGAUCGGAUUGGGGGAGAGGCCUUACAGUGCCCCAAUGUGCCCCCACAGCCAUGACA